rnacentral:rRNA from 1 species
GAUGAACGCUGGCGGCGUGCCUAAUACAUGCAAGUCGAGCGAACAGACGAGGCGCUUGCUCCUCUGACGUUAGCGGCGGACGGGUGAGUAACACGUGGAUAACCUACCUAUAAGACUGGGAUAACUUCGGGAAACCGGAGCUAAUACCGGAUAAUAUAUUGAACCGCAUGGUUCAAUAGUGAAAGACGGUUUUGCUGUCACUUAUAGAUGGAUCCGCGCCGCAUUAGCUAGUUGGUAAGGUAACGGCUUACCAAGGCAACGAUGCGUAGCCGACCUGAGAGGGUGAUAGGCGACACUGGAGCUGAGACACGGUCCAGACUCCUACGGGAGGCAGCAGUAGGGAAUCUUACGCAAUGGGCGAAAGCCUGACGGAGCAACGCCGCGUGAGUGAUGAAGGUCUUCGGAUCGUAAAACUCUGUUAUUAGGGAAGAACAAAUGUGUAAGUAACUAUGCACGUCUUGACGGUACCUAAUCAGAAAGCCACGGCUAACUACGUG